GCAAGUCGAGCGCACUCUUCGGAGUGAGCGGCGCACGGGUGAGUAACGCGUAUGCAAUCUACCUUUAACUGGAAGAUAGCCCCGAGAAAUCGGGAUUAAUAUUCCAUAGUAAUCUAAAGUGGCAUCACUUAAGGUUUAAAGCUCCGGCGGUUAAAGAUGGGCAUGCGUGACAUUAGUUAGUUGGUGAGGUAACGGCUCACCAAGACAACGAUGUCUAGGGGUUCUGAGAGGAUUAUC
rnacentral:rRNA from 1 species